rnacentral:rRNA from 1 species
UACCAGCACCCCGAGUGGUCGGGACGUUUAUUGGGCCUAAAGCAUCCGUAGCCGGUUCUACAAGUCCUCCGUUAAAUCCAGCCGCUCAACGGUUGGGCUGCGGAGGAUACUACGUGGCUAGGAGGCGGGAGAGGCAAGCGGUACUCAGUGGGUAGGGGUAAAAUCCUUUGAUCCAUUGAAGACCCCCAGUGGCGAAGGCGGCUUGCCAGAACGCGCUCGACGGUGAGGGAUGAAAGCUGGGGGAGCAAACCGG